UACGAAGGGGGCGAGCGUUGUUCGGAAUUACUGGGCGUAAAGGGCGCGCAGGCGGCUCAUCAAGUCAGAUGUGAAAGCCCCGGGCUCAACCUGGGAACUGCAUUUGGGACUGAUGAGCUAGAGUUCGGGAGAGGUGGGUGGAAUUCCCAGUGUAGAGGUGAAAAUUCGUAGAUAUUGGGAAGAACACCGGUGGCGAAGGCGGCUCACUGGACCGAGACUGACGCUGAGGCGCGAAAAGCGUGGGGGAGCAAACAGG
rnacentral:rRNA from 1 species